CUCUUGUCAUCAGCUGCCAAGGCUAUGGAAGCCUCUUGAGUUCGCCAACUCCGACCUUAUUUAGACAAGGCCAUUGUCAAAGUGGAAGUUCUCUCCUCCCUUCAGAGAAAGAUACUACAUUUGCCUGCUGAGAAAAAGCAGUCACAAGGAGAAAUAAGAUCAUCUCCAGGGACGCUGGAGCCCUGGAACAUUUAAAGAUGUGUUAUGCUGGGAUAGUGAAAAGUACAAGUGAUUGCUUGAUAACAAGAGGAAAUGCAUCCUGAAAUAAACUGGUGCCUGAUUUAUGGAAGAAGGUGGAGCCAACUGGCAUGAGGGAUAGAUAAUGGUGGACAUAGCAAUGGGCAUUCCAGAUGCCCCUUCAGGGCAGGACAUGUUCCCAGGUGCUGAAAGUGCAAUCAGUAGCUAGGCCCUUGGGCUCAAGCACUUUGAGAUUUUCUGAGCUGCUGAUCAUACUCUUCUGCAGAUGGCCCCCAUGCAAGUGAGUAAUGCAGGGUCAUUUUAACUCUAAGUAAACCAGAUGUGAUGGGGACCUACAGCUCAAGGUCACCCAGUGAAAUGGGCUAAGGCUGAGAUCUAUCAUAAUAUAACUUCUCCCUUGGCUCAGUCCUAUUUGCCUUCUCCUUUUCACAGGCGUUGAUCACAAGGGAAUGCCCUAGAAGCUUAUUUAUCUUCAUCUCAGGUCUGCUGCUGGACAAACCAGUGUAUGGCAAUGCUGUCUAAGAUGGGGAAUUUUUGUGGUGUUCAAACUGGUAAAGAAUAAACAAACCUGUGCAUUUUCUUUUUAUAGCAGAUGCAGUAUUCUGAGAAAGGGAUUAACACCAUUAAAAAGGGUGCCCAAGAAAUAUAAUUCUUGUUGUGUUGGAAACCUUGGAAGUGUAAGAGGCUAAAAUAUAAAACAGACUGGGAAUCAGUUUCAGGAGUCGAGGAAUGAAAUCCACAGGCUAAUACAGGCUUGUCGUUGUAGAGAGAAGCAUGCUUGUUAUUUUUCAAAGGAGAGUUGGAAAGAUGUGGUGUCAAUCUGGAUGUGAGGGUGAAGAGAAGCCAGCUGAGCAAACAUUGAUUCCCCGGGUGAGAGCAGGGGAGUCUGAGAGUGUCAUGGAUGGUAAUGGAUAAAAUGGGAAAAGGCUUAAUGAGGAGCUUAAUAUUCUCUGGUUUUGACAUCUCUAAUUUAAAAUGUUGACAAUAUAUUUCAGAGGAAAAGAUGGGAGCCAUCUUAAUUGCCCAGCCAUAUAAAGGGAUGGCAUGAUCAGUUGUGCAGGCUGUGAUCAGCACAGGGCAUCAUGCCCAGUGGAAAUGAAGGUUGGGCUCUAGACUGUAUGGGUCUGCACCUGCCCAGAGGAAGGGAAUUUUUCCUGAUCGGCACAGAAAUGUUGCAGGGGCUGGUAGUACACUGGCCAGAGCUUGAAACCAGUGAAAGAUAUGAGAUGUUUUGAUGAAAUGCAUGAAUUUGGUUUAGAUCAGAGUGGGGAGUUCAUGAAGUGGAAGAGUUUCAAAAGUUAAAUGUCUUUAGGAUUGGGGAUAGGUAAGUUACUUAAAUCUUCUAAGUAUCUUUUUUCCUUAAUUGAGUGGCCGGACAAUUUUCUUCUCUCCACUCCUUCACAGUCACCUAUACCAAGAUAGGAUAACUGCAUGAGAUAUUUGUCAAGGCAAAGAAAGGAGGUGGCUAUGCUUAGUCUAAUGAGGUGCAGGAAUUAUGCUAAGAAGUGAUUACAUUUGGCAGUGGAAGUCCUUAACUUGCAGAUAUUUCUUUCUGAGACUGGACAAGGCAGAUCACCUUUUUACUUCUUUCCAUCUUUGCAUGUGCAUGACCUAAUUAUCCAGCAUAUCCAAGAAGGGAAGUCAGAUGGAACACAGAAGGCAAAGUUGCCUUGAAGAGGAAUAAGGGCGACUGCAGGUGAGCCAAAACAUAAAAAGUACAGAUUAAUGGUGUAGCUUUAGAACCAUUGUCCGAGGAGUCCAGGGAGGCUUGUGCCCUCUUAUUAGCAUUGCUGAUUGAUGACAGUGACAGUGAUGGUUUGCACCUUAUCUCAGGCAGACAGCAGAUCUCUGCCAUUGGAGCUGGUUACAUAGCAGGAAUAUCUCUGUGACCAGUAGAGUAUGAGAAACCCAGACUUGGCCUCCAUUGCAGGUUCACUGGUUUUACAUGUUCCUUGCACAUGUCAGUGCCUCCUGCUUCCAGAAGGAAGGUCCUGGUAAGACCUUUCAAAGGGACAACAAUUGAAGUAUGGGCCUGGGUCCUGUAGAUCCCUUGCUAUGAGUCACAUCCUUGCUUGUAGCUGCUGCUAUAUGGUAUCAUUUUUCCUGAUUAGGCCAUAGAUUUCCAAACAUAGGUUGAGCAUCCCUAAUCAAAAUAUCUUUAAUCUGAUGCUCCAAAAUUCAAAAUUUUUUGAGCACCCACAUGAUACUAGAAGUAGAAAAUUCCAUACUUGAUUUCAUGAGAAGAGUCACAGUCAAGAUGUAGGUACACUGAACGCACUGUAUAAAAUGACUUUUUGGCUAUGUGUAUAGGUGUAUAUGAAAAAUAAUUUUAUGCUUUGACUUAGGUUCCCUCAAUAACAUAUCUCGAUGUAUAUGCAAAAAUCCCCCAAACUAAAAAAAAAUUUGAAUUUCAAACACUUCUGGUAUCAAGCAUUUUGGGUAAGAGAUACUGUAUUUGUGUUGUCAUUUUUAGUUCUGUGAGUCAUUUGCUAUCAGUAGUACACAACAUAAUUAAAUUAGCACAUAUUAAAGAUCUGCUUGAUGUACCUUGUUCAUAGUUAUACUCACAAAAUAUAACCUUUUCUGCUCUUCUCUCACAUCCAGUUUCAACUUAUUUUCCUCAUUGUGUUACUUUUUCUGAGAGAUUCUAGUUCUUUUUGCUGGGAGACAGUGCUCUGUGCUGAAGCAAUUGGAUUCUUAACACCCACUUGGCUCUGGAUCUCGGUCCAGUCCUGAUUGUUGGCAGGCAUCUAGGAAGUGAACAACAGGUCACUAAAAAAAGAAGUAAAAGAAAAUUUAGCUCCAUGGAUUAUGACUCUGCACCAGCACAGAGUGGUGGAUACCUGCUGACACACCUUUUUAGCUUCAGUGACACCGCUGCCACAGCUAGAACUCUUAAAUGGCUGGUCCUAGUACUAGGGUGACAGCAAGAGGAACUCAUACAACUUCAGAGGCAAUGAAGGUAGCUGUCCGAGGCUAUCCCAUUCCUCCCUCCCUUCCUCUACUUAUCUACCAUGAGAAUUAUUGUUUUGGACUGGUUGGGAUAUAGACAUAGUA